GGUUUGGUAGCUCAGUGGUUAGAGCACCAGCAUAUAUAGCCAGCAGGGCCUUGGUUCAAUCCCAGGUUGGGUGA